AACAAUAACAAACGGGAGGAGGAAGCGAUUCUGGGGUUUCUGUGUUGAACGGUUCUUGUCCGCGAAGAUGCGCUUCGGCCUCUGUCAGGGGACUUGAACGGGCUUAGUGGGCUUCAGCCAGCUUUUCUCCACCGGUUCCCCACGGGGACCCCCCCCCCCCCCCGGCCGUUGCAAUGGCGGGCGUGGGGCCGGGGGGCUACGCGGCGGAGUUCGUGCCACCGCCAGAGUGCCCCGUCUUUGAGCCGAGUUGGGAGGAGUUCACAGAUCCGCUCAGCUUUAUCGGCCGCAUCCGGCCUUUGGCGGAGAAAACCGGCAUCUGCAAAAUUCGGCCGCCCAAGAAUUUAAUUUUAGUUUUGGCAGAUUUCUUCAGUUUCCAAGGACUGGCAGCCUCCAUUUGCCUGUGAAGUAAAAAGCUUUCGUUUCACUCCAAGAGUCCAGCGCCUGAAUGAACUUGAGGCAAUGACCAGAGUGAGAUUGGAUUUCUUGGAUCAACUAGCAAAAUUUUGGGAACUUCAAGGAUCUACUCUGAAGAUCCCUGUGGUAGAGAGAAAAAUCCUGGAUCUGUAUGCUUUGAGCAAGAUUGUUGCCAGCAAAGGAGGUUUUGAAAUGGUCACCAAAGAGAAGAAAUGGUCUAAAGUGGGUAGUCGCUUGGGAUAUCUGCCAGGAAAAGGAACUGGGUCUCUUUUGAAGUCACAUUAUGAAAGAAUUCUCUAC
rnacentral:lncRNA from 1 species